CAGCAGCCACGGUAAUACGAAGGGUGCAAGCGUUAAUCGGAAUUACUGGGCGUAAAGCGUGCGUAGGCGGUGAGUUAAGUCUGCUGUGAAAUCCCCGGGCUCAACCUGGGAAUGGCAGUGGAUACUGGCUCGCUAGAGUGUGUCAGAGGAUGGUGGAAUUCCCGGUGUAGCGGUGAAAUGCGUAGAGAUCGGGAGGAACAUCAGUGGCGAAGGCGGCCAUCUGGGACAACACUGACGCUGAGGCACGAAAGCGUGGGGAGCAAACAGGAUUAGAUACCCCCGUAGUCCCUGUCUCUUAUAA
rnacentral:rRNA from 1 species